rnacentral:rRNA from 1 species
UGCCAAAAAAAAGAAAGCCCCCCGGCUUAAUUCCGUGCCAAGACAGACCCCGGUAAUCCGGAAGGGGUGGGAGCGUUUAUUGGAAUUUCUUGGGGGUAAAGCGCAUGCAGGUGGUUUGUUUAAGUCAGAUGUGAAAGCCCGGGGCUCAACCUCGGAGUUGCAUUUGAAACUGGCAAACUAGAGUCCUGUAGAGGGGGGUAGAAUUUCAGGUGUAGCGGUGAAAUGCGUAGAGAUCUGAAGGAAUACCGGUGGCGAAGGCGGCCCCCUGGACAGAUACUGACACUCAGAUGCGAAAGCGUGGGGAGCAAACAGGAUUAGAUACCCUGGUAGUCCACGCCGUAAACGAUGUCUACUUGGAGGUUGUGGCCUUGAGCCGUGGCUUUCGGAGCUAACGCGUUAAGUAGACCGCCUGGGGAGUACGGUCGCAAGAUUAAAACUCAAAUGAAUUGACGGGGGCCCGCACAAGCGGUGGAGCAUGUGGUUUAAUUCGAUGCAACGCGAAGAACCUUACCUACUCUUGACAUCUACAGAAGCCAGCGGAGACGCAGGUGUGCCUUCGGGAACUGUAAGACAGGUGCUGCAUGGCUGUCGUCAGCUCGUGUUGUGAAAUGUUGGGUUAAGUCCCGCAACGAGCGCAACCCUUAUCCUUGUUUGCCAGCACUUCGGGUGGGAACUCCAGGGAGACUGCCGGUGAUAAACCGGAGGAAGGUGGGGACGACGUCAAGUCAUCAUGGCCCUUACGAGUAGGGCUACACACGUGCUACAAUGGCGCAUACAGAGGGCGGCCAACUUGCGAAAGUGAGCGAAUCCCAAAAAGUGCGUCGUAGUCCGGAUUGGAGUCUGCAACUCGACUCCAUGAAGUCGGAAUCGCUAGUAAUCGUGGAUCAGAAUGCCACGGUGAAUACGUUCCCGGGCCUUGUACACACCGCCCGUCACACCAUGGGAGUGGGCUGCAAAAGAAGUGGGUAGUUUAACCUUCGGGAGGACGCUCACCACUUUGUGGUUCAUGACUGGGGGGAAGUCGUAACAAGGUAACCG